GCCAUCUUAGCUCAGUCGGUAGAGCGCAUCCAUGGUAAGGAUGAGGUCGCAGGUUCGAUUCCUGUAGGUGGCA
rnacentral:tRNA from 1 species